GGGGGCUUGGCGCAGCGGUAGCGCGUGUGAUUCCAGUCCACAAGGUCAUCAGUUCAAAUCUGGUAGCCCUCA
rfam:Penicillium oxalicum 114-2 unplaced genomic scaffold scaffold_5, whole genome shotgun sequence.